UACGUAGGUGACCAGCGUUGUCCGGAUUUACUGGGCGUAAAGAGCGCGCAGGCGGUCGUUCUAGUCGAGUGUGAAAGCCCCCGGCUCAACUGGGGAGGGUCACUCGAUACUGAUCGACUUGAAGGCAGGAGAGGGAAGCGGAAUUCCCGGUGUAGUGGUGAAAUGCGUAGAUAUCGGGAGGAACACCAGUGGCGAAGGCGGCUUCCUGGCCUGUUCUUGACGCUGAGGCGCGAAAGCUAGGGGAGCAAACAGG
rnacentral:rRNA from 1 species